UUGUCCCUCAUGCCACCGCACACCCACACAGCCUUCAUCCUGGGAGGGUGGAGCCUGCACAUCUUCUCCCCCUCCCCGAACACCCAGAAACAAUCCACUGAGACUUGGAUUAAAAAAGAAGACGAGAAGAAAAAAGAAAGCCUCCAACUUGAUCUUUCCAGGAAAAUUUAUGAGAAAGAAUGCUAUCCACCUCCAGAGAAAGAACUGUUGGAGUAGAAAUGCAGAUGAAAAUAGAUCUCCAAGGAAGAAGCUUGCUAACUACUAAAUCCAGAGAAUGAACUGUUGCAGAAAGAUGCCAGAAAAACCCACACUACAUCAAGAAGAUCAACAAUGAACUUUGGGUGUGGUUGAUUGAACUGAAGUUUUAUUAAACAUUUAUUUGUAAAUGUACACUUUUAUGCCAAGGGAACUGCCCCUAAUUUGGCUUUCUGUCAAUGUGCCUAGCAAAACAUUGGUUUUGCUUUCUUUCUUUCUAUUCCUUCCUAACUACUGUAAUUUCUUCUUAGAAAAUCGAAUAUUGUAUACAUCUGUAGUUAGAAGUAUGUUUAGGACUACGAGAUGAUUAUGUUAAAUGAUCAAUGGGGAGACUAGUCUCCCAAUGAUCAUCAGGGGGAUUGCAAAUCUUAAAACUGCUCAGACUCUACUUCAGAAGAUUUGAUUAAGCCAUUCCCCAUUUUUAACAAUGGAGGUAAUUGAUCAGGAAUGUAUUGAGAACUUUUAAAAUUACUCCACCCUACUCAGACAGUGCCUUAGGGGAAGAUAAAGUUGAAAACUCCUGAUUGAACAAUGAAAAGUUUAUAGUAAAGCUAGAACCUUAAGCUAGGUCUAUUUUUAGAUCUAAUACAAAAGGAUGCUAAGUACCUAUAAAGGUUAAAUUAAUCACUAAAAGGUCAAGCAACUUACAAAAGGCAAGCUUAACAAAAGAGGUGUGAAGUACUCAGAGGAUUUAAUUCAACCAGAGAAGGUGAGAACAAAAGAAGAUGAGAACUAAGAAUGGGCAAUCCUGGAAAAAGUAUCUACUGUGAUUGGUAGAUGUGAAAAUUUAGGGGAGGUGACAUAAGAGAAAAUUUCUUUAAAAGGAAGGGACUUAUUGAAUUUGAGCUAGUUGGAGUUGGAGUUCAUAGAUGGAGAUGGAGUU